rnacentral:rRNA from 1 species
UACGGAGGGAGCUAGCGUUAUUCGGAAUUACUGGGCGUAAAGCGCACGUAGGCGGCUUUGUAAGUUAGAGGUGAAAGCCUGGAGCUCAACUCCAGAAUUGCCUUUAAGACUGCAUCGCUUGAAUCCAGGAGAGGUGAGUGGAAUUCCGAGUGUAGAGGUGAAAUUCGAUAGAUAUUCGGAAGAACACCAGUGGCGAAGGCGGCUCACUGGCCCGAUACUGACGCUGAGGCACGAAAGCGUGGGGAGCAAACAGG